GAGACUCUGUGCGCGUGCAUAUCAAUAAGCGGAGGAAAAGAAACUAACAAGGAUUCCCCUAGUAACGGCGAGUGAAGCGGGAAGAGCUCAAAUUUGAAAUCUUAAAGGGUUUCCCUUUACGAAUUGUAGUUUAAAGAAGUGUUUUCUGUUAGUGGAGUGGCAAAAGUUCUCUGGAAUAGGACAUCAUAGAGGGUGAGAAUCCCGUAUUUGGUCAUUCCUUCUAGCUUUGUGAUACACUUUCAAAGAGUCGGAUUGUUUGGGAAUGCAGUCCAAAAUGGGUGGUAAAUUUCAUCUAAAGCUAAAUAUUGGCGAGAGACCGAUAGCGAACAAGUACCGUGAGGGAAAGAUGAAAAGAACUUUGAAAAGAGAGUUAAACAGUACGUGAAAUUGUCAAAAGGGAAGCGUUUGACACCAGUGUUGUUUUUCCGAAAAUCAAUUAUAAAUGUUUUGUUUCUGAGGAGUGAUGACUUCAUCGGCUUCCUUCUCUCUUCACGAAACUUUUGUAAUGCACUUUUCGGUUAACAAGUCAACAUCAAUUUCUUUUGUUGUAAAAGAGUAUUCGGAAGGUGGCUUUCUUUUCGGAGAAAGUGUUUAUAGCCUUGUAGCCUCUGCAAUCGGAGAGAUUGAGGUCUGCAGCGUAGAUCCUUCGGGGUUAGGAUACAGUUUGUGCUAAGUUAUAGCUUUUCAUAGACAACUUGUUGACUAUGUUUAGUCUUGUAGCUUACUCGCUGAUGCUAUUUUACCUACGCUUAGGAUGUUGACAGCAGUAUAGACUGU
rnacentral:rRNA from 1 species